rnacentral:rRNA from 1 species
CCUACGGGUGGCAGCAGUGGGGAAUAUUGGACAAUGGGCGAAAGCCUGAUCCAGCCAUGCCGCGUGUGUGAAGAAGGCCUUCGGGUUGUAAAGCACUUUCAGUGGGGAAGAAAGCCUUGGGGCUAAUACCCUCGAGGAAGGACAUCACCCACAGAAGAAGCACCGGCUAACUCCGUGCCAGCAGCCGCGGUAAUACGGAGGGUGCGAGCGUUAAUCGGAAUUACUGGGCGUAAAGCGCGCGUAGGCGGUCUGAUAAGCCGGUUGUGAAAGCCCCGGGCGCAACCUGGGAACGGCAUCCGGAACUGUCAGGCUAGAGUGCAGGAGAGGAAGGUAGAAUUCCCGGUGUAGCGGUGAAAUGCGUAGAGAUCGGGAGGAAUACCAGUGGCGAAGGCGGCCUUCUGGACUGACACUGACGCUGAGGUGCGAAAGCGUGGGUAGCAAACAGGAUUAGAUACCCGGGUAGUC